CAGAAGGGAGCUUGAAAGCUCUGUGGGGCAUGUUCUAUAGGAGCACUAUUCCUGGUCAUGGUGGUUCCACUCUCAUGGCCUAGCCAUCUCCCAAAGGCCCCACCUCCAAAUACUUUCACUUUAGGGUUUAGUUUCAACAAAGGAAUUUGGGGGUGGCAGGAAGACACAUUUGGACCAUAAUUCAUGGCUAUGUUUACAGUUUAACUUUGGGAGCUCCCUCACUCAUGAGAGUCCUGGGCUGUAGAAGAUGCAGAGCUCUUUAUAGGCUACCAAGAAAGCCCCCUGGAUCUCCUUCUUAACUUUUAAUUGCCAAUUUAUCACUCUCAGCCUCUUGUUCUCUUUCUCCAAAGCAUCAGUGAAGCUUAGCGACAGCUAGCCAAACCCACUAUUCUUUGUGUUAUGGUUGCCACACGUCUCCCAAAUGCCUGUUGUUGCACCAGCUUGUGAAUUCCUUUCUGCCAGAAUGCUAUCCCAGUUUGCCACCAGUAACAACACUGAUUACACUGCUACCUCAUGCCAGGGGCUGUGUUCUACUUACCACCAACAACGAGUCCUUCUUGCCAUUCAGGCAGCUGGCAGUUCGGCUCCAUGUUCACAUCUGCUUUCUCCACCCACUUCUCAUACCAACUGUUAUGGGUCUGGUUGCCCAAAAGCAGAAUCUGAGAUGAAGACCAGAAUGUGGAAGGCUUCUUAGUGCAGCUUUUGGGAUCAACACCCAUGGAAGGGAUAUGAGUGAAGGAGGACUGAACAGAGGGAGAAGCUAGAUUCUUCCAGACAAGGGGGUGUGGCCUUGAGCAAGAUUACCCUUUUUACCUAAGAAAUACUGGAGAGCUUCCUGCAGAGAGCCCUCAGUGGUACCUCACUUUAGAAUGUAAUAUAAUUUACCAUGUGAACUGAAUACAGAGUUCACAUGAUAAUCCCGGGGUUUUUUUUUUUAAAGAAUUUGUCUGGAAACAGAUGUUGAAUUUAAACAAAUGCAUCUUUUCUACCUAUUAAAAUAAUCAUAUAAUCUAUUGAGAUAAUUUUCCUGUAUUCCAUUCUCAUGACAAAUUACAGUGACUUCAAAAUGUGAAACCCAGCUUAGAUUUCUUUUUACACACCUGUUGAUUUCAUUUGCUAGAUUUGUGGCAUUUGACUUUUAUGUCUAUAAAAUUUUUUGAGAGAUCAGUCUACAUAUUACCAUUUUGUAAUGCUUUAUCAUAUUUGGCUACACAAGGUUAUGCUGCUUUCAUAAAAUGAAUCAGAAAGUAUUCUCUCCAUUUGCAUAAGACCAGUAAUAUUUUUUCUUUAACCAUUUGAAUGAAUUCCUUGGUUAAUCCAUCUAAAACCAGUUUCUUUGGGAGGAUUCCUUUUCUUGAUUAGAUAUAGGACUAUUCAGAUUUUUUCUUUCUUCUUACGUCAGUUUUGGUAAGCUGUGUUCUUAUGAAUUUACUUAUUGCAUCUAAACUGUCAAAAGUUUCUAUUCAGAUUCUCAUCCUUUUGGAAGCCUUCUUCUAAACUUUCUACUUGGUUUUUUCUACUCUUUGCCUUGAACUACUUUUGAAUUGGAAAUUGCUUUAAGUGGAAAAAUGAGUACACUAUUAGACUUACUUCUCUGUACUUUCUUUCCCUCCAAGAUCUUGACCUCUCCAAUCUCCUUACCUUAGUAUCUCUCUAAUACUUUCAAAACCGUAUCUUUCCAAACUUUGCUCAGUGUUUCUAGUUGUUCUUAGCAGGAGGGUUGGUCUGCUCCUCCAUGAUAAAUGGAAAUGGAAGAACUUCCCAUAUGAUUAUAAUAAAUAUCUGACUGGUAAGUGCAAAUGGCAUUCUCUAAUUAACCUAUCUCAUAUUCAAAUAUUGUUAGGAAUAUUUGUGCUAGAUAAGAACACCUGUUUAUUCUUGUAUUGCACUCUAUUUGUCUCUCAUAUAACAAUCUUCUUAAAUAGAGUGACAAUGUAUCUGUCAAUGGAGAAGCAGAUUGGGAUCUAAGUACUGAAAGCUUAUUCAUGCAAUUUGAAAAUCACUAACAUUAUCAUCACUUUAAGCACAUUAAAUGUUGUCAAUUAAUAUAGUCUGUUACUAUCACUAUUAUUGUAAGUGCCUUGUUAUGUUUCUAUAAGAUAGCUCUCAGCAAAACAAUGAAGAAAAUUGUCACAGUAAUAUAAUUGACUGAGAAUUACUUAGUUACUUACCAAAUUCAGCAAACUUUGUCUAAUGGACCAGCAAUCAUUAUGUACAACUAAAUGCUUGAUUCUUUCUUACCUAAGAAAAUAAAAAUAAAAAUAAAUAAAUUUUAAAAAAGAAAACUUAGGUUAUGAUCAUCACUACUUAUCUUAAUCUCCUUGUUAAAAUCAGAACUCAUCUAGUUUCAGACCAGACACCCAUAUAAAACAGUGUGACACAAUCACAAAAUACAUAUUCUAGCAAAGAAAGGUUUAUGUAGCUAAAGCCAAGAGGUGAAAAACUAAUAAAUUCAAAAUUCAAUGAAACUGUCGAUCUUCUCUACUUAAAUACUUGAGAGAAAGGUAAAUUUUGAAGGAUAUAAACUCUUCCCAUUUGUCCAAAUAGAAGCCAACAUCAUUAGAUGGUUUCCUGCAUUUCUGUUUUGCCUUAGGAAGCUGCAAUGUCACACAACUCCAAAGAGAGAUUAUUAGCCAAAUGGCCAAUGAUUUUAAGAACCAAGCAUUUUAAGAACAACCAUACUUUCAGGAAUUAUGAUAGAUUCUGGCUGCAGGUGGAAACGAUAGUGGUAGGAAAUUUCAGCUGCUGGUUGCUUGGUUAUACUCUUCUCUAAAAUGUCUCUCGUUCACCUGAUCUCUCUCUUUAGAACUUUGUGUUUAAAACAAAGGCACACAUUCAAAGCAGGCUAUAAUUGCAAUCUUUCAGCAAAAAAGCAUUUACCAAAACAUGCCUUUCAGAAUGUGGUACAAUUUAUCACCCCCAUGGUGCAUGACACACAAUUACAUUUGUCACUGCUUUAAUUGGAUAUUACAUGUCAGUAAUGACUCAUCAGCUCCAGAAGUUAUGAAAGAUAAAUUCCUUACUACCGAACCUCAGAAUUUGCUCCAAAAAUAAAGCUAAAAAAUCAUUUAUUUCUCAGUAAGGGUGGAAGCUACAUUUGGAAGAAACACUAAUCCCUGUUUCAGAAAAAUAACAAUGUAUUUCAUUUAUUGACAGCAAGAUGAUUGCCCACAGUGUUUCUCAUUACCCUUAGAUCACAAAUGAGUAAAUCACUGUCAGACAAACCAAGGUUAAAACCAAGUGUGUACAUUUUAACAAGGUGCAGCAAGUGAAUGAAUGAACGAAUAAUAAAUAAGUAAAUAAAUAAAUAAAUAAAUAAAUAAAUAAUAAAUAAAUACUUAAGGGCUCCAUCACUAGGAGAGAAUUACUAACCCAGAGAAUUUUUCAGAUCCUGUGAUCUGAUAAGCUCUGCAACCCAGUCAAUGUUGGAAUUAAAUUAGGCUUCAGAAAAUGAAUAUUUCAUUUUUAAGAUUCUGUUGCUUGGAGACCUGAAAAGAGAAGGCUGGUUUAGCCCAAGACAAGAGAGAUGUUAUGAGGGCCAGCAUUUUCAACUCCUGGAAACUGCCAGAGAAUGCCUAGGAAAAAUUACACAAGAAAGGUGAGACAAUGAUGAUGGUACAGAUGAAUGUGUUAUAAAUGCCACAAUGCGUGUCAUGUUCUUCCAAGCUAAAGAAGUCUCUGUCUACCUUUCACUCGCAUUACUAAGACUUAAAUUGGACGCAAUAUCAUGAUACCGUAGACCCCAACUACCUUCUGUUUUAACAGACACAAUUUUUGAAAAGCAAACCAAAUAUAGCCUCAGUGGCAAAACAAAGGGAUACUUCUCUUACUAAGGAGGUUCAACAAGAGAUAGAAAUAUGUAAACUCACAUUUACAUGUUGGAUGUACCUACACUCAUCUGGCUACAUUUUAGUCAGGACUAUACAUAAUGAAUACGCUUUCCUUCAUCACUCCUUACAUGAAGCUGGAGCACCUAUAGGAGAUCUUCCACUUUGGGGGGACAGUAGAUGCUAAUUAUUUCCCAGUUUCUGUAAUAACAGAAUCACCUGAGCUUCGCAUAGGCACAUGAUCACUCAUCUAAAGAUUACUUUUCCCAGCCUUCUUGGUAGGGAGGUGUGGCCAUGUGAACGAAUAUGUUUUGAACAAUGAGAUUCAGGCAGAAACUGUGUGUAACCUACAGAUUAUGAUUUUUUGUAAAGAGGCUCUUACCUUCUACUUCCUGUUUUCCCUUCAGGUGGGCUAUUGUGAAAGGUAAUGGAGUGAGCCAGAUUUAACCAUGCGGAGCUCUAAUUAGGGCAUGACAGAGCAGCAAGAUAGAAGUAACCCAGAUCCUUGGAUGACCUUAUGGAACAAAGUACCUUAACAAACCUGUACCUCCUGCCCAAUUUUGGACUGUAGCAGAAGAGAGAAAUUAAUGUCUAUCAUCAAUCUGCAUGUGGGGGCCUCUUUUUUACUGCAAUGUAGCCUUUCCUUAAUGAACACAUUAGAUUUGGGUAGCCAUGGUCUCAAGAGACAAUUUUGCCUCCUAUCAUUUGUUCAAUUUUAUCACUAUUAUAACCUUUUCUUGAUUCUCAUCUUCCUUCCUCAGUUCUUUAUGUUACAUACAAAUUGGGCUGACUAUGGCCCUCCAAGGCCUUGUUUGAGCCACCUCUUUCUUUUUGGUUACUGUUAGCCUCUGCCUAAUCUCCAUUCAGAAUUUGAGCAAGCGUUCCAAACGUGAUAUGUGUUUCCUUCCGUAGAUGACUUUGCCUCCUUGACCGCAGUGACUGCCCAGGAAAUAGGCAUGUGACAGGAGCUGGGAAAGUCAGAGUUCUUUCCUGGAAUCUUCCUGAAGAGUAAGCACUUUUUCUCUUGUGAAACAGGAAUUUCUUGGCUUGUGAAGCUCUUUUGCAAUUAUCACGAAUGAGGUCAAUGUACAGAAAGGAAGAAGAUAGAGCCCUUCGUUGUUUCCAGUUACCCUAAGCCAAACACCUAAACUUCAGAGGCCGUAUGAACACCUCCCCCCCCCCCCCCGCCGCCGCCCCCAAAAAAGUUACUUUGGCCCUGGCUGGUUUGAACUGAGUUCUUCAGAUGCAUCAAAAGUCAAACAGUAAAAGAUUAAGAAACCCCAGUGCCAUAUGGUUAUAGAUCCACAUCUUAUAUGUCAUCAAACUUCACUCUUCAAAUCAUGAUUUUAUUCUUUGAGGCUACGCAUACGUUACUGGAAUCCAUAAAUGUUGUCCUAAUUUUGUGACUGCCAUUCUACACCAAAGGGUCAGUUCAAAGCAGCAGCAAAAUCACACAAGAAAAGUGUUUUUUUCUGUGAUGAUUUCUGCUCAGCACGCAACAUGGAGGUUAACCACCUGGAAAAAAGAAAAAUAAACUGUAAUGCUAAGCCUGAAAAGCGUAUAUAUAACACUGUAAGAAUGACUGCUCUUUUCUGUACAUGUGAAUAAUGGAAAAUGAAAAGGUUGAUAUGCUAUCUGUUUAUAAAGUGAGGGCCAUCUUGCAGGCCAGGUUUGAUUAAAGAAUCAAUCUCAAUGGUCUAACUACAUCAUUUUAAAAAGAAAUCGAAGGGCGAGAGGCAGUCACUUCUAACUUUAGAGUGGGGCACUCUGGGAAUCCGCAGAGAUGAAUGGGAUGGCUACAUUAAUAGCGGGCUGUUUCCCUAUUGCCAAGACACCAAUCUGAUUGUUCAAGAUAAGGAACUCUCUUUGAAUGACUGAUGAAGAGCAAUUCUUCGUGACAGACGGAGACUUAAUUUUAACCGAAUAAAACUACUUGCUGAAGAGUGCAGGAGCCAUUUCUGAAGUGUGAGACCGCAUGGGCAAUACACAUUUAAGGAAGAAUUUCUUUCAUGUUCUUUGGCACCAAAACGACUCCCAAGAAGCCAAGUGGAGAAUAAUCCCUAUGACAAAUAGGGACUGACAAGGGCCACCACAUCAAAAUUCUCGUCUCUUCGACUGCCACUCAUUAUUGAUUGACAGAGUAGAGAGUCCCUUUUGGUAGAGCCUCAAAGAUAAACUUAUUUUCAGUCUAAUAGCCAGUAGGAUUGUGUUCUAGCCUUUCUCACGAUUGCUGGGCUCAUACUAAUAUUCCGUGUCCAGCAAGGACUAAGAGAAGCCUGUAAGGAAGAAGAGUAGCAGUAGGUGAGCUGUGUUUUUCAUUUUUAUUAUAAUUCUUACUAUGUAUUAAUUAUAUGUUCUUAAUUAUGUAUAUAUUCUUAACUGUGUAUAUUCUUAAUUACAUGUACAUUCUUCAUUGUUCCCAACGUACCUAUUUUUCUUUGGAUUGUGGCUGGGCCAAUAAAUAAGUUGCUUUCUUCUCCAA